rnacentral:rRNA from 1 species
UACGGGGGGGGCAAGCGUUGUUCGGAAUUACUGGGCGUAAAGGGCUCGUAGGCGGCCAACUAAGUCAGACGUGAAAUCCCUCGGCUUAACCGGGGAACUGCGUCUGAUACUGGAUGGCUUGAGUGUAGGAGAGGGAUGUGGAAUUCCAGGUGUAGCGGUGAAAUGCGUAGAUAUCUGGAGGAACACCGGUGGCGAAGGCGGCAUCCUGGACUACUACUGACGCUGAGGAGCGAAAGCCAGGGGAGCAAACGGG